rnacentral:lncRNA from 1 species
AUAUAAAAGUUUAUAUUUUUCACACAAUUAAUCUUUAAAAUACAAGAGAAUCAACAAAUAAAUAAAAUAAAUUAUAAAACUCAGAUUUGAAGUAUACCCAAAUGACAGAUAUUACAUUUCAUAAAAUACUGACCUGAAAGAGUGGUUCUUGAAGCUUCAAUGAUGUCCUCAAAGAUUAGCUUUAUUACCCAAGUUGCCUCGAUGAUUAUGGAUUUUGUUGCAGAAUUAAUUGUGGGUUUGUUUCUUAAAUGGGAAUUGAAUAAAGUAAUAAUUAGCGAUUGAUGCAGAAAGGAAAAAUACAUAUGGGCUUUAAAUGGAUGAGAUGGAAGGGCUGGCAAAGGAGCAAAAAGAUCAAGAGUAAAACCAAAAGAAACAACAGCAAACAGUUGGGCUUUAAAUGGAUGAGAUGGCUGUCAAAAGGAAAAUGUUAGAAACAGGUCAGAAGGUCUACUCCUCAAUUAUUUUCGGUGGUAUUCAGGCUUUUUCGUUCAUAGACACUUGCCGGUACCUAAUUUUCAUAGCAAAAUAUGUAGGUAAUUUACAACAACAACAACAACUAUUCAGUAUAAUUCCAGGGUCACAAACCUUACCCUUACCCGAAAGGACAGAGAAGCUGUUUCCAAUCGACCCC